AUGAACGCUAGCUACAGGCUUAACACAUGCAAGUCGCGGGGCAGCAUGGGGGUUGCUUGCAAUCCCCGAUGGCGACCGGCGCACGGGUGAGUAACGCGUAUCCAACCUGCCCCUCACCACGGGAUAACCCGGCGAAAGUCGGACUAAUACCGUAUGUUGUCCAUUGACGGCAUCCGAUUUGGACGAAAGGUUUGGCGGUGAAGGAUGGGGAUGCGUCCGAUUAGCUGGACGGCGGGGUGACGGCCCACCGUGGCGACGAUCGGUAGGGGUUCUGAGAGGAAGGUCCCCCACACUGGAACUGAGACACGGUCCAGACUCCUACGGGAGGCAGCAGUGAGGAAUAUUGGUCAAUGGGCGUAAGCCUGAACCAGCCAAGUAGCGUGCAGGAUGACGGCCCUAUGGGUUGUAAACUGCUUUUAUGCGGGGAUAAAGUGGCCCACGUGUGGGUUUUUGCAGGUACCGCAUGAAUAAGGACCGGCUAAUUCCGUG
rnacentral:rRNA from 1 species